AAUGCUAUUUAUAAGUGUAUAUAUUACCUACCGGUUUUUGUUUCCGAAAAUUUCGUGAAAAAUAAUUAAUGUCAUAGAAUAUAUUAUUAUCUCAUCUAAAAUUCAAUCAUAUGUAUUAUGUAUGCUGCGGAAACGAUUUUGAUAUAGUUUUUUCAUAUACAUAAAAAUGUAGUCAAUAAUUCGUUAUACGAUGUUCGUUUUACUUACCAUUUGUAAA